GACGAACGCUGGCGGCGUGCUUAACACAUGCAAGUCGAACGGUGAAAGCGGAGCUUGCUCCGCUGGAUCAGUGGCGAACGGGUGAGUAACACGUGGGCAACCUGCCCCUCACUUCGGGAUAACUCCGGGAAACCGGGGCUAAUACCAGAUAUGACCUCCUUGGGCAUCCUUGGAGGUGGAAAGUUUUUCGGUGAGGGAUGGGCCCGCGGCCUAUCAGCUUGUUGGUGAGGUAGUGGCUCACCAAGGCGACGACGGGUAGCCGGCCUGAGAGGGAGAGCGGCCACACUGGGACUGAGACACGGCCCAGACUCCUACGGGAGGCAGCAGUGGGGAAUAUUGCACAAUGGGCGCAAGCCUGAUGCAGCGACGCCGCGUGAGGGAUGAAGGUCUUCGGAUUGUAAACCUCUUUCAGUAGGGACGAAGCGAAAGUGACGGUACCUAAAGAAGAAGCACCGGCUAACUACGUGCCAGCCGCCGCGGUAA
rnacentral:rRNA from 1 species